CCUCUCUAUAGUUACAGGAAACACAGGUCCUCACCAUGGGAUGUAGCUGGAUCAUCCUCUUCCUCCUGUCAGUAACUACAGGUGUCCACUCCCAGGUCCAGCUGCAGCAGUCUGGGGCUGAGCUUGUGAAACCUGGGUCCUCAGUGAAGUUGUCCUGCAAGGCUUCUGGCUACACCUUCACUGACUAUGGUAUGAACUGGGUGAAGCAGAGGUCUGGACAGAGCCUGGAGUGGAUUGGAUGGAUUGGUACUUCAAGUGGUAAUACUGAGUACAAUCAGAAGUUCCAGGGCAAGGCCAAACUGACUAUCGACAAGUCCUCCAGCACAGCCUACAUGGAUCUCAGCAGCCUGACAUCUGAGGACUCUGCGGUCUAUUACUGUGCAAGAAACACAGUGUUACAACCCACAUCCUGA